GGUCAAGCUACAAAGGGCUCACGGCGGAUACCUUGGCACACAGAGGCGAUGAAGGACGUGGUUACCUGCGAUAAGUCUCGGGGAGCUGGAAACACGCUUUGAUCCGGGAAUUUCCGAAUGGGGCAACCCCUUGUACGGCCAGCUGAAUCCAUAGGCUGGCGCGAGCCAACCCAGCGAACUGAAACAUCUUA
rnacentral:rRNA from 1 species